AUGCCGGGCCCUAGAUAUUUAAAUGACUUCCGUAAUAUGGGUCCUGUUGUGAAAAACAACCUGAGCCACACGGCCAUACCAAAGUGCCCGGCUUCCCUGGUCCACAACCGGCACAGUCUGGUCUUGCCAUCUAGUGGCCGCUGCCUCCGCCAUGGCUGAGGCUUCCUCUAAGACGACCUCUGAGGAAGACCAGAGCAUUCAAGAGCCCAAAGGGGCCAACUCCACGACCAUCCAGAAGAAGAGGCGAGGGUUCCAAGGCUCCCGCAGGCGCCAUGCCAACCGCCGCAGGGACAGCUUCGGGGACAGCUUUGCCGCCUAUUUCCCCCAGGUGCUGAAGCAGGUUGACCAGGGCCUCAGCCUUUCCCCGGAGUCCGUGAGUGUCAUGGAUUCUAUGGUCCAUGACAUAUUGGACCGCAUCGCCACCGAGGCUGGUCGCCUGGCCCGCUAUGCCAAGCGUGUGACCGUCACCUCCCGGGACAUCCAGGUGGCCGUGCGCCUACUGCUGCCGGGGAAGAUGGGCAGGCUCGCUGAGGCCCAGGGCACGAAUGCCACCCUCAGAACUUCAUUAUGUGCGAUAUGGCAACAGAGAAAGUGAAUACGCUGAUAUAAGAAGAGAGAUUGUUAGAAAAAUGUUAUGAAAAUAGUUGAAGAGAAAUGUUAUGAAAAUAGUUGAAGCUGUGCUUACUGCACAAGGAGACCAAGAAAAGCCCCACAAAAUCAGCUGCAAGUAAAUCCCUCUGGAUGGUGCCGCCAAAUGUUCCUACAAGUCCAGAACAACACUUGCCAAACCAAAGAUUCUUGGCAGAACCCUGUUUCUUUGCAGAGACAGAGCUGUGUAGCUGAUCCAAAACACCACAUGUCACUCAGUGACUUAUUUCUCAAUAUGCUAAUUGUUUUGCUGUAAAGUGCCAAUGUUUCUGUGAAUUAAGACCUACGAAUAAAUUUCUGAAGUUACCCUUGCA